UGCGUAGGGUGCAAGCGUUGUCCGGAAUUAUUGGGCGUAAAGAGCUCGUAGGCGGUUUGUUGCGUCGGCUGUGAAAUCCCGAGGCUCAACCUCGGGUCUGCAGUCGAUACGAGCAAACUAGAGUGUUGCAGGGGAGACUGGAAUUCCUGGUGUAGCGGUGAAAUGCGCAGAUAUCAGGAGGAACACCGGUGGCGAAGGCGGGUCUCUGGGCAGCAACUGACGCUGAGGAGCGAAAGCGUGGGGAGCGAACAGG
rnacentral:rRNA from 1 species